UACGUAGGGCGCAAGCGUUGUCCGGAAUUAUUGGGCGUAAAGAGCUCGUAGGCGGCCAGUUGCGUCAGCUGUGAAAACUCGAGGCUCAACCUCGAGACGUCGGUUGAAACCGCUUGGCUAGAGUCCGGAAGAGGAGAGUGGAAUUCCCGGUGUAGCGGUGAAAUGCGCAGAUAUCGGGAAGAACACCCGUGGCGAAGGCGGCUCUCUGGAACGCAACUGACGCUGAGACGCGAAAGCGUGGGGAGCAAACAGG
rnacentral:rRNA from 1 species